rnacentral:sRNA from 1 species
AAAUAAACCUGAUAGAAAUGGAAAUCCUUUUUGUAACCCGUGCAUAGCGAGAGGGAAACAAAAAGAUUGGAAUGAAUAGCAGGACUGAAA